GACGAACGCUGGCGGCGUGCUUAACACAUGCAAGUCGUACGGUAAGGCCCUUUCGGGGGUACACGAGUGGCGAACGGGUGAGUAACACGUGAGUAACCUGCCCACAACUUUGGGAUAACGCUAGGAAACUGGUGCUAAUACUGGAUAUGUGCUCCUGCUGCAUGGUGGGGGUUGGAAAGCUCCGGCGGUUGUGGAUGGACUCGCGGCCUAUCAGCUUGUUGGUGGGGUAGUGGCCUACCAAGGCGGCGACGGGUAGCCGGCCUAAGAGGGUGACCGGCCACAUUGGGACUGAGAUACGGCCCAGACUCCUACGGGAGGCAGCAGUGGGGAAUAUUGCACAAUGGGCGCAAGCCUGAUGCAGCAACGCCGCGUGCGGGAUGACGGCCUUCGGGUUGUAAACCGCUUUCAGCAGGGACGAAGCUUUUUGUGACGGUACCUGCAGAAGAAGCACCGGCUAACUACGUG
rnacentral:rRNA from 1 species